rnacentral:lncRNA from 1 species
CUCACUCCUAAUAAAAGUAUGCAAUAUUUUACAUACAUGUAAUAUUUUACAGUCUAUCAGUAGCUCCAACCUGAAACAUAAUCAUUUGCCCCUUUGGUUGUUUAAAGUAAAAAUUCUCUUCUUUCAGGGAUAGGAAAACUAAGAUGUUACAGGUAUAGCUGCUUGCAAAUAUUUGUGAGUUACAGAGCUGGGUGGCACUUCAUCCAAACUCCAAAGUUCAAGUCAACAGCCCAUUCAGUGGUAACUAUUUUAGUGAACAAAGAUCUCCUGACUAUGUCUAUUUGUCCAAAUUCUACUCUCUCAUUUCAUUUCUAUUUCCCCUCACCCCACACAACACAUACAUGACUCAAACCUCAUAAACAAUGCAUGAAAGUGCACACAUCUCACACAAAUACACAUAUCACAUAGUUUUCACAUACUACAGAAACACACACAUUUACCUCAUAAACAGAACACAUUAACAUAUUCACUCUCCACACACACGCACACCUCAAAGACACACAGAACACAGUAAAAUAUACACAUUUCACUCACACACUUCCAUAUAUACCUGUCACACCACACAUAUACGUACCUCACAGACACACAUAACACAUGCCACACACACUACACUCACAUAAAAACUCAUGCAUUUAACAUUCAUAUAUAUAAACACAAAUCACAUAUAAAUCUCACAUACAUGCAAUCAACUCACAGGGACACACAUGUAUGUUCACAUACAGGGAAGAAAAGUUGUGAAUGUGGUCCAUCAGGUUACAAGACAUUAGACUAUAUUCUCCAGGGAAGGACACAGACUGCUAUAAGGCCGGAAAUGAACAGUUACAUGGUAGAAAAUCAGGGUGCCAACACCAUACUUUACGCACAGGGGUUGGACUCUCCAGGUUCAAGCUCAACGUGUUGACCAUCAGUAAAGAAUUCACAUCAGAAGAGCCUUCUCACAGGUAGGUAUUAAUAGUUUAACAAGUAAUUAAUAGCUUAACAAGUAUUAAAAGCUUGGGGGCCCUUGGGUUCAUAUACCUGAUAGUGUGAGUCACAUCAAGAUAAUUUUAGGCAUAACUGAUAUAGUUUAUUGAAUUUUAAAGUGUGGAAUUAAAUAAUAAGGUUAUUUCCUUUCCAUUUUGCUUCAGUUAUUCUCAUUGCCCGAAGGAAGAAGAGUUAAUUGGCCCUUCAUAUAUCUAUAUAUUUACUAAAUUCAUUUUUGGGUUUUUUGGUACCGGAGAUCGAACUCGGGUCCUUGUGCUUGUGCAGCAGGUGGCAAAACCACUGAGCUAAAUCCCCAGCCCUAAAUUCAUUUCUUUAAUAAAAGAGAAACCAAACCUUAGGCUCAGAGCCAUUUGCUGGUCAUGGUAUUUAGGCAAACUUGAAUUAUUUUGCCUUUUAUAUUGUAUUUUUUCAAUUCUCUUCCAUGUUUGAUAAAAGACACUGUAUUACAAUUUAUAAUAAUGACACAAAACUUCAUCUUUUAGCCAUAAG